GGUUCGGUAGCUCAGUUGGUUAGAGCGAUGGAUUCAUAACCCAUAGGUCGGCAGUUCAAAUCUGCCCCGAACCACCA
rnacentral:tRNA from 1 species